rnacentral:misc_RNA from 1 species
UUUAAUAUUCAUUCUCCAAUCCCUUGUACUUCAUCCAAUUCAGAAGACAAACUAAAACAUUCAAGCCACAUUUAGUCUUUUCAAUGCAUUAUGAUACAUAUGUGUUCGUCUCACGCUAGACUUACUCGGUUCUUAGAUUUUGAUAACCAUGUUACUUCAUGUACUUCUGCAAGAAUUUUCGGUGGAAGUCGUUCCUAAUCGUAUCAUUUAUAAAGCGCUUGGGAGUCUUUGAUUCGCCACGAGCCUGAUUCUUGAACACAACAUCAUCAUCCCAUCUUCUUUUGACACUAAAAGAGGAGGGUUGCUCGUUAAGCAGUGGAUUUCCUCGGAGUAACUCUGCUUCCUUGACUUUAAGCUCUUCCUCCCGUUCUUGUCUUUCCUUCCGAAGCUUUUCCUCUGCUCUUUCCUUCUUUAUUUGUUCCAGCUCAGCCAAAAGAGCUUCAGUAUCAUCCUCAUCAUCAUCCUCGUCAUCGUCACUCUCAUCGUCACUUUUCACAUCCACAUCAGAAUCGUCAGCAUCUAAACUUCGUGGUACAAUACGAUCUUCAAUAUCUCUCUUUCCACCUUCUAACAGAAGUUGGCUUCCUUUUCUAUGAUCUCUAUCAUCAUAUGACUUGUUCUUUGAUGAAAAAUGCCUCCUUUCACGAUCUUCUAACUCAUCCCUGAGAUUCCUCCUUUGCAAUUCAUCAUGGGUAUCUUGUCCUUCCUUUCUGGGUUUCAAGGUCGUAUGAGAAGCGAUGUCUCUGGAGGAAUAUUUCUGGGAUGGGCCGAAAAUUCGAGUACCACCUUGCUCGUUUCCACCUUUAGCCGGUGCCCAUGUGGGUCGA